CCGAUAUCGACUGUUUUUAUAAGGGCUUCAAGAACAACUCCACUUAAAAAUGUUUAAAGCCUCAAAGGCCUCUAAUGAUUAUCAUAGAAUAAUCAACAUAAAUAUCGGCUCCAGUCGACUACACACUACAACACGCUGCUCGAUGCUCGUAGCACUAUAGCUAAUAGCAGUCGUCAAUGGUCGUUUCACCAAUUUCAGCACAAAUCUAGUUUCCCAAGUUCCGUUGUGUUGAUGUACAACAGCGAUCGCCAUACAAGAAUACAACUGGGACUGACUAAAUCAUGAUUUAGCAAGAAACAACAUUGUGAAUUGUGGAGUUUUUGACAUGUAGAUGCUACACAUUACUGCAGAACCUGAAAACUGGUUGAUUGAAAAUAUACUUUUGUCAAAAAACACGUAUAUACUAAAUGAUGUUUCAAAACAAUUUACCAACUGUCAGUGAACUACUAGAAUUACAGAAUUGUUGAAUAGUCCCAAGAAAACGGUGCUGCUUAUUUGAUUAGAUAAGUAUACUAAUAUUCAAAUUCGUAAUUUUUUUAUGAUAUUUUUAUAGAUAUAUAAUUCUGUAGUGAAUAUGAAUAAUUUGUAUAAUAAUAAUAAAAGUACUUAAAAUAAUAAUUAUUACAAUAUAUUAUAUACAAAUAUCCAUAUUUUUAUUAUUUGUUCAUCUAUAAUAUAAUAGGCUGUGCUGAACACGUCUACCCAGAGACCGGCUCAAAUGUAAAAUAUAUAAUUAAUAUUACAAAUAUCCUUUGUUUUAUAUAUAUAUAAAUUUAUUAAUUUUCAUUUUUAUAAUUGAUAUAAAUAAAAAUAAUACAUAUUAUUCAAAUUUUUGAACAUGAAUAUAAAAAAAUGUUUUUUUGUGCCACAAAAAAAGUUACAUUUAAUAAUUCAUACUCAACUAUUUUAGA
rnacentral:lncRNA from 1 species